rnacentral:rRNA from 1 species
UGGGGGAUAUUGCACAAUGGGCGAAAGCCUGAUGCAGCGACGCCGCGUGGGGGAUGAAGGCUUUCGGGUUGUAAACCUCUUUCGCUAUCGAACAAGGCCCGCUUAGGGUGGGUUGAGGGUAGGUGGAGAAGAAGCGCCGGCUAACUACGUGCCAGCAGCCGCGGUAAUACGUAGGGCGCGAGCGUUGUCCGGAAUUAUUGGGCGUAAAGGGCUUGUAGGCGGCUUGUUGCGCCUGCUGUGAAAACGCGGGGCUUAACUUCCCGCGUGCAGUGGGUACGGGCAGGCUUGAGUGUGGUAGGGGUGACUGGAAUUCCAGGUGUAGCGGUGGAAUGCGCAGAUAUCUGGAGGAACACCGAUGGCGAAGGCAGGUCACUGGGCCAUUACUGACGCUGAGGAGCGAAAGCAUGGGUAGCGAACAGG